GCAGAGGUUCAGAAACUUUGGUAUACAUAAGAUUCCCCUGGGAAAUUUAUUGAAACUAUGAUUUCAGGGCCUAACCAAGAUUCUGAUUCCAUAUUCUCAGGUAUUACUCAGAAAUCUGUAUUUUCUGCAAAUACCAGAUGCAGGUGAUCCAAGUAUGGUAUUCUGAGAAACAUAGGAAAUGGGAUAAAGACACUUCUAGCAGUUCUCGAUCUUUGCUAGGUAGCUGUAUGCCAGCAACAGAACACUGAAUCUGCAGUCAUUGGAUCCAAGUUUGAGGGGUCUGGCUGUCACGUCUUAGGCAGGACAGAUUUCUCCUCUUAGUCAGAAAUGUGAUGGAAGAAGGCAGAAGAGAUGAGAUAUGAGGAAGACUCCACCACCAUUGCUGGCUUUGAAGAUGAAGGGGCCCACAAUCCAAAAAAUGUGGAGUGACUGGCCUUUUGAAGCUGAGAACAACUCUAGCCCAACAGCCAGCAAAGAAAUGGGAACCUCACUCCUGUAACUGCAUGGAACUAUAUGCUGCCAAUAACAUGCAUGAUCACAUUCUCCCCGAGAGUUUCAUAAUAAGGAUAGCAAUCCUGCCACCUUGGUUUUAGCCUGGUAAGACCCAUAUAGACUUCUGACCUAUAAAACUGUAAGAUAAUAAAUUGUGUUUGGUGUAAGCUGCUAAGUUGGUGUUAAUUUGUUAUGGCAGCAAUAGGAAACUAAUACAAAAAGAAUGUGAGCUUUCCAGUUGAGUGCAGUGUUUCAUAUUUAUCCACCAGAUGAAGUUUCUUAAUUAUGUUUAGAUCUACUAUACUCUUACUAAUUAUCUGUCUUAUGAAUAAUUGAGAAAGAUACAGGUGGAUUUUUCUCAGUUUCUCUUUGUAGCUCUGUCAAUUUAUACUUUAUGUGUU